UUUUAAGGCUUGAUAUCCAAACAAAAGAGGU
rnacentral:piRNA from 1 species